CGAAGGCUGUCGUGGAACCCGCCAAGGCAAAGAAACAUGAAUGAUGCCAAGAAAUACACUUGUCAAGCCACCACCGCCACCACCCUCCCCUACGCGAUCGUACCCACGAAAUGAAACAUCCUUUCAAGCGUGAAGAAUACAGAAUUGUACCACAGACCAAAUCUUAGGGAAAAAAAUUAUCCACGAUUCAUCUGGUGCUGAGUUAUCACAGUUAUAGUGAGAUAACUAUGUGUUUAAAACAGAACAGCAGCCCCCAAAAGGUCAUCUUCUGCUACACCCAGUGCCCCCUCCCACGUUCUAAUUUUUGCCACAGGCGCCAUCUUUAGUUCUGAGUCACCAGGGAUGGAAAAAUACUAGUCAAGUCAGUCCAGGACUCUUGCAUUUUCUGCAGUUGCAGUCACACUAAAACCUGUUGCUUCGUUUGUGUGGUCUGCAGCUGGGGUUCUCUUCUGGAUCUGCUGCUAAAGCCCAUCAGAUCACAACACAAAAGAGUAAGAAUUCUCAGCAGCCUGUGGAGUUUGCUUUUCUAAACAGUUCUUUGUAUU
rnacentral:lncRNA from 1 species